ACGCUCGACACCUAUGGGAGGCGGCAGUAGGGAAUCUUCCACAAUGGGCGCAAGCCUGAUGGAGCAACACCGCGUGAGUGAAGAAGGGUUUCGGCUCGUAAAGCUCUGUUGUUGGAGAAGAACGUGCGUGAGAGUAACUGUUCACGCAGUGACGGUAUCCAACCAGAAAGUCACGGCUAACUACGUGCCAGCAGCCACGGUAAUCUGAGCGGGCUGGCGAAGGC
rnacentral:rRNA from 1 species